rnacentral:rRNA from 1 species
UCCAGACUCCUACGGGAGGCAGCAGUGGGGGAUAUUGCACAAUGGGGGGAACCCUGAUGCAGCGACGCCGCGUGGGUGAAGGAGCGUUUCGGCGCGUAAAGCCCUAUCGGCAGGGAAGAAGGAGGACGGUACCUGACUAAGAAGCCCCGGCUAACUACGUGCCAGCAGCCGCGGUAAUACGUAGGGGGCAAGCGUUAUCCGGAUUUACUGGGUGUAAAGGGGGCGCAGACGGCAGCGCAAGCCAGGAGUGAAAGCCCGGGGCCCAACCCCGGGACUGCUCUUGGAACUGCGCGGCUGGAGUGCAGGAGGGGCAGGCGGAAUUCCUGGUGUAGCGGUGAAAUGCGUGGAUAUCAGGAGGAACACCGGUGGCGAAGGCGGCCUGCUGGACUGCGACUGACGUUGAGGCCCGAAAGCGUGGGGAGCAAACAGGAUUAGAUACCCCAGUACU